rnacentral:rRNA from 1 species
UACGAAGGGGGCUAGCGUUGCUCGGAUUGACUGGGCGUAAAGGGCGCGUAGGCGGAUAGUACAGUCAGACGUGAAAUUCCUGGGCUCAACCUGGGGCCUGCGUUUGAUACGUAUUAUCUGGAGUUCGGAAGAGGGACGUGGAAUUCCCAGUGUAGAGGUGAAAUUCGUAGAUAUUGGGAAGAACACCGGUGGCGAAGGCGGCGACCUGGUCCGAUACUGACGCUGAGGCGCGAAAGCGUGGGGAGCAAACAGG